rnacentral:rRNA from 1 species
UACGUAGGGUGCGAGCGUUAAUCGGAAUUACUGGGCGUAAAGUGUGCGCAGGCGGCAGAGCAAGUCGAGUGUGAAAGCCCCGGGCUUAACUUGGGAAUUGCGCUCGAAACUACUUUGCUGGAGUGUGGCAGAGGAAGGUGGAAUUCCACGUGUAGCGGUGAAAUGCAUAGAUACAAUCAAGAACUCCGAUUGCGUAGGCAGCUAACUAGGCUGUAACUGACGCUGAGGCACGAAAGCGUGGGGAGCGAACAGG